UAUGGGUUCAAGUCCCUCUAUCCC
rnacentral:tRNA from 1 species